GUGAUGAUGAAAAACAUAAUAAUUUGGUUCUCCUGAGAUCUGUUCCUGCAAACUACUAGAAAAACUGAACAAUGU
rnacentral:snoRNA from 1 species